GAAGUGGUAGCUCAGUGGUUAAGAUGUUGGACUUCUGAUUAGAAGGUUUAGCGUUCAAAUCCCAGCACCAUCA